UCAUAAAGCUUCUGUCAGGAUUGUGACACAUGGCUGAUUCCAUUACAAACCAAAACCCAAAACAGGUGAAGAAAUUGACACAGGCCUAGGAAGUUCUUGAUAGUUCAAAAUGCUUACUUCAAAGACACAUAGUUCGCAAGAGGAAACGGAUGAGCGGCAUUCAGUAAAAUAAUGCACAGGAAUUUCAAAAGCUCAUCCGAUCAGCAGAAGAAGAAAUCAGAAAAGUCACCCAUAAGCCAUUUGGGAUUAUUUAGAAGCAGCAACAACGACACCAAAAAGCAGAGAAGAACCUAAGGGAACUCCACAAUAACAUAGCCUCUGCUUCAGAUCAGACUGCAAGACUUCAGAUGAGCCAGCUCUGUGGUCUCUGCUUUGGCUCCUGCCUUGGCUUCUGUAAGUCAAAUAAACCUUUUCUUCCCCAAA